AAUAAUUGGACCAAUUUAGCCCCAUGGACAGGCUAUUAAAAGGGUUCCUCAUUCUUAGCAGGAGAGAAGCAUGGGAAGAGAGAGGCGCGUGAAUUUAAAGGACCUGUUGUGAGGAUAAGGACCUGUUGUGAGGAUAAGGACCUGUUGUGAGGAUAAGUCUGAACUGGGAAGAGGAGAAACGCGACGUGAUGCGGCCCCUCAGAGGCCCCGCCGGCUAAAUGAAGACAGAUGCGGGCGUUCGCUUUCAAGGUGAGGUUUUAUUUGGUAUUAGCCUAUCAAUUUGCUAAUGCACAAUUUUGGAGGCCAGCCGCUGGAGACGAGUGACAGAGCGGACAAAUGGAUAUUGAUGAUAAAAGGUUUCCAUUAUUUGCCUGCUAUUUUUUCCCUCUUAUCUUUUUUUUUUUCUUCUUCAACGUUUUUCUUCCUUUUUUUCCUUUUGAACAUCAGAGGUGGUGCAAAUCGUAAUGGAUGGCCACUGCAGAUUUCAAGCCUUCAAUUCGGAGUCAUAGGAUCCCAGACAGCUGAUCGAGUUUCGUCAAAUGGCUUUCAUGAAAUUUCUCCAGUGGCUCUAUUGAUUUUGUGGACCUCCUCACCUCCGAGUCUGACCGUGGAAAAUGGACAUGCACACACAUAACUGACGAGAUAAACAGAGAAGAGCUUCAAACAUUUCCUCUCAAUGGCCAUUUUUAGCUGCAUGGAAGCAAAGCCAGAUAGAGCUUGAAGUGGACCCUGACCUGGCACCAGUGCGGCCAGAUCAGGGCCAAGUCCACCCGGCAGAUCACCGCCAACUGAGACUCCAGAGGCCUGGACCCUCUCGGGGGAGUAGGGGAUGAUGGAUGAGAUCUUCCUAAACUUAUGCAGCUCUACGUUCCUCUGGAUAUUGUGUUUCCGAUUCAAAUAGGCCACUGAUCACUUCAUAUAUAUGAGCUCUAGAAAAAGCGUGGUUAUAGAAUGUCAAAGGCAUCACCCCCGCAUAAAGGGUAGUGUAAUGUAUGAUUUAUAUCCUAUCACAACAACAACAAAAAGUAAAACAAAGACAUGAACGAAAACAUGCACAUGCAAGUGUGUGUGCGGGUGUGUGCGUGUGUGUGUGUGUGUGUGUGUGAUCCUGGAUAACUGAGUUCCCCAGUGCACUUCAUUUUUGUCCCUCCUAAUAUGUCCAUCAGCCACUGCACUGCAAAAAUUCAGCUUUCAAAAACAAAAAAAAACAAAAGAAAUAAAA